rnacentral:rRNA from 1 species
UUGCAAAGCACUUUGAAAAGAGGGUGAAAAGAACCUGAAACCGUUACGUGGAGAGCGCAUCGCAGCAGAGUGAAAGGGAGGGCGUUUUGUUCAGCUUAGGUGUUAAAGCCUAGGUGUACUCGAAGCGUUUUUUCGCCAGUCGUGAGCUCCUGGUGGUCGAUUCAUCGAUUGCUGGGGGUGGAGGGCUCCCCCUUUUUAUUAAGGGGUCUGAGGACGAAUCUGGAUAAUGCUGCGAAUCGACCCGUCUUGAAACACGGACCAAGAAGUCUAGCGUAUGUGCGAGUCAAAGGGUGGUGAAACCUGAGGGCGCAGUGAAAGCAAUUACAUUUAAAAACGUUUUUAGCAGUUUGUGGCGGCAUACGUUCGUUGAACGUAGGUCCGACCUAGAGCACAUAUGGUAGGACCCGAAAGAUGGUGAACUAUGCUUGAGUAGGGUGAAGCCAGGAGAAAUUCUGGUGGAAGCUCGUAGCGGUGCUGACGUGCAAAUCGCUCGUCUAACUUGAGUAUAGGGGCGAAAGACUAAUCGAACCAUCUGGUAGCUGGUUUCCUCCGAAGUUUCUCUCAGGAUAGCGGACCGAUACUGAUGUUGUUGUGUGU